rnacentral:rRNA from 1 species
UACGUAGGGUGCAAGCGUUAAUCGGAAUUACUGGGCGUAAAGCGCACGUAGGCGGCGAAGCAAGUCGGGUGUGAAAGCCCUGGGCUCAACCCAGGAAGUGCAUUCGAAACUAUUUCGCUUGAAUCUCGGAGGGGGUCAGAGAAUUCCCGGUGUAGAGGUGAAAUUCGUAGAUAUCGGGAGGAAUACCAGUGGCGAAGGCGCUGACCUGGACGAAGAUUGACGCUGAGGUGCGAAAGCGCGGGGAGCAAACAGG